rnacentral:rRNA from 1 species
ACGCCGCGUGAGUGAAGAAGGGGUUUCGGCUCGUAAAGCUCUGUUGGUAGUGAAGAAAGAUAGAGGUAGUAACUGGCCUUUAUUUGACGGUAAUUACUUAGAAAGUCACGGCUAACUACGUGCC